ensembl:lncRNA
CUCCUGCUGCUUAAGUAUUUACAACUAUCUGUCUAUCUAUCUAUCUAUUUAUUCAUUUAUUUAUUUUUCUAUAAAUAAAUCGACUCGAGUUCUUUCUAAUUUUGGUGGGAAAAAAACACUAGCUGGCCAGCGCCCAGAGUACGCUUCCUAGAAAGAAGACUGAAAAGGGAAAUGGAGUGUGCGCAUGCGCACUGCCCAAUCAGAGCAUGCGGCAGGAGCAUUUAUCAGUUCCCGACAUUCCAGAAGGUCUUCCGUUGUUUUUGUGGAUUAAUCGGAUUUUAUUCUUCACCAUGCGCGCGAUCAUGAAGCUCCUCAUCUGCUGUGUGUUCAUGCUGUUCCUGGUGAACGUAGUUCCAGCUGCAGGUUCUACCACAGAACUCCUGUCAUGCUGCUUUCAGCAGCUUGGUAAUAGAUCAGUGGUGUACAUACUGAACAACACCGUGGAGUCCGAUUUCACACAGUGGACCAGAAACAAGACACCCAUUAAGGAUGAACAUGGCAAUGUGGACAAGAGCAUUGUCAUAGGCUAUGGUCAGAACUGGAUCACUCUAAAUCAGAGUUACUUAGACAUUGUAUUCUACUUUCAGACAUAUGAUAUGAUGAAAAAUCAAGAAGUUCAAUGUACAGGUAUGUCAUUAUUAUUAUUACUAUUAUUAUUAUUAUUAUUAUUACUGUUAUUAGUGGGCCAAGCAUCAAAGGUGUGUUGGCACCCUCUUGUUAUUCUACCUUUUCUUCUACUUCUACUUCUUCUACUUCUUCUGGCUAGGGCAGGGGUGGGCAAUCUUAUCUGGAACGGGCCGGUGUGGGUGCAGGUUUUCGUUCCAACCAAGCAGAACCCACACCUGAAUCUAUUGAAAGCCAAGAUCAACUGAUUAAACAGGUGGAAUCAAGUGUGCCUCCUGCUUGGUUGGAAUGAAAACCUGCACCCACACCGGCCCUUUCCGGAUAAGAUUGCCCAACCCUGGGAUAGGAGUUUUCUGGGAGUUCAUAGAACUGUCUGGUAAAAAGUUGUGAAUUUGGGACACUGAUUGAGGAGGGUCGAAGGAACAUUCUGACCAAAUUUGGGUCAAAUGCUUUCAAUGCUCUAGCGCCACCAUCAUUGUCAAAUUACAGUCAUAACUUUUGAACCAUGUGUCCAAAUUUUGAAAGCCUGGUAUCCCUGGAUUCCCUGGGUCGAGACGGUGGAGAUGUAAAUUUCCAUCUAAUUAGAUUUUCUGCUAUGUUCGAUUUUUUUCUGUUGUUUUUUCACUACUCUUCAUACAAAUGUUGUCCAGUCAACACCAGAUUUGGCAAGCAUCAUGAUCAGACUAAGCCUCACAAAAGUUAUGAAAAGGAUUUUGAAUACUCCAAACAAUUUGCCCAUAAUGGGCCAACAAAUCUGACAGAAAAGCUGACAAACAGGAUGUGAGGCUGUAUAUCAGCAACGACUUUGCGCAUUGACACAAAAAAUGACCCAAAACCUUGUCUCAAAACAUUCAUGACCAUGAACAUGCAACAAAUGUCGUGACAGCGCCACCUACUAGUCAAAAGUUACAAUAACAAUGCUUCCAUGUAAGUGCCAUUUCUGCUCCUAAUUUUUUUUAUAUGUUGGUAAAUUGCUGAUGUAUAAGAGAAAUAUAAUGCAUGGUGAUGUGAUGUUAAAAGAAAAUAAUCAACUUUGGGGUGGUAAAUGUAACUCCGCUUACACACACACACGUUUUAUUAUUUAAUCAUGCAGUUUUCACCUACGUAGAUUUGUUUAGAAAUCGUUAAAUGCUUUAAAGAUCCAUCUCUGCAGUACAAUCCUCUUCCUUACAGCUUACAUGAACUUUGUACCAUCAGAAUAAAAUAUUUCUCUUUUCCAGCGUGUGUAAAAUGUUUUCUCACACCUGUUUUUCUUCCUGCAGAUUUGUGUGAACCGGGAUCAGCUAACCUUCCGAUUGGAGAGAAGCAUGAGACAAAUCAGCGUGAUGGAGGUGACGGAGGUUUGUAUCACACGCAGAUAAACUUUGUUAUUUCUUGCAGCAGAU